GCAUAUCUGAUUAGAAUAAAUACUUCAAGAGGAAGUCAUUCAAAUACACUGUUAUUUAUAGCUGGUUUUCCAUUCCAGGCAUGGUAUGUGGCUGCACGAAAGAUUCCGAAAAAGAAAAACAACAACAUGGCUAACAGGAUGUUGCUGCCCAGGGAGUCCUGGCGAAGAGGUUUACUCAUUCCAGAAGCAAGAAUUGUAUCAUUGUAAGGCGAAUGGAAAUAAACUGACAUCGACUGA